rnacentral:rRNA from 1 species
CACGUAGGGUGCGAGCGUUGUCCGGAAUUAUUGGGCGUAAAGCGCGUGUAGGCGGCUUUGCAAGUCGGGUGUGAAAGCCCUCAGCUCAACUGAGGAAGUGCGCCCGAAACUGUAGAGCUUGAGUGCCGGAGAGGGUGGCGGAAUUCCCCAAGUAGAGGUGAAAUUCGUAGAUAUGGGGAGGAACACCGGUGGCGAAGGCGGCCACCUGGACGGUAACUGACGCUGAGACGCGAAAGCGUGGGGAGCAAACAGG